rnacentral:rRNA from 1 species
UACGGGAGGAGCGAGCAUUAUUCGGAAUGAUUGGGCGUAAAGGGUUUGUAGGCGGUUUUUCAAGUUGAAAAAAAAAGAUUAGAGCUUAACUUUAUUUAUUUUUUCAAAACUAAAAAACUAGAGUAUACAUAGAGGAUAAUAGAAUUUCUAUUGGAGGGAUAAAAUCUGUUGAUAAUAGAAGGAAUGUCUAAGGCGAAGGCAGUUGUCUGGGUUUAUACUGACACUGAGGAACGAAAGCUUGGGUAGCGAACGGG